UACAGAGGUGGCAAGCGUUGUUCGGAAUUACUGGGCGUAAAGGGCGCGUAGGCGGCUUGGUCAGUCCCGUGUGAAAUCCCUGGGCUCAACCCAGGAACUGCGUCCGAUACUGGUUGGCUUGAAUCCGGGAGAGGGAUGCGGAAUUCCAGGUGUAGCGGUGAAAUGCGUAGAUAUCUGGAGGAACACCGGUGGCGAAGGCGGCAUCCUGGACCGGCAUUGACGCUGAGGCGCGAAAGCGUGGGUAGCAAACAGG
rnacentral:rRNA from 1 species